rnacentral:tRNA from 1 species
GCCCAGAUGGCGGAAUUGGUAGACGCGUUGGUCUCAAACACCAAUGUUGCAAGACGUGCCGGUUCGAUCCCGGCUCUGGGUA